rnacentral:rRNA from 1 species
AGAGGCUAAGAGCAAUCGGUGGAUGCCUUGGCAUCAGGAGGCGAUGAAGGACGUGGCACGCUGCGAAAAGUUACGGGGAGUUGUGAGCAAACAUUGAUCCGUAAAUAUCCGAAUGGGGCAACCCCCUCGAUAAGAGGAUCACAUAUUGAAUUCAUAGAUAUGUGAGGCGAACCCGGGGAACUGAAACAUCUAAGUACCCGGAGGAAAAGACAUCAAAAGAGAUUCUGCGAGUAGUGGCGAGCGAAAGUGGAGCAGGCCAAUGCCUUGUUAUAGUGAAAUAGAAAGAUCUGGGAAGGUCUGCCGUAGAAGGUGAAAGCCCUGUAUAUGUUAAGUUAUGACGAGGAUUUGAGUAGGCCGGAACACGUGUAAUUCUGGUUGAAUAUGGGAGGACCGCCUUCCAAGCCUAAAUACUACCUGAUGACCGAUAGUGAACAAGUACCGUGAGGGAAAGGUGAAAAGCACCCCGAUGAGGGGAGUGAAAGAGACCUGAAACUGGUUGCUUACAAGCAGUCGGAGCGGCUUUAUGCUGUGACGGCGUACCUUUUGUAUAAUGGGUCAGCGAGUUUCUGAUCGUAGCGAGCUUAAGCCGAUAGGUGUAGGCGCAGCGAAAGCGAGUCUGAAUAGGGCGACAUAGUUACGGAUAGAAGACCCGAAACCGGGUGAUCUAGCCAUGGCCAGGUUGAAGGGAUAGUAAAAUAUUCUGGAGGACCGAACCCACGUCUGUUGAAAAAGACGGGGAUGAGCUGUGGCUAGGGGUGAAAGGCCAAUCAAACCCGGAGAUAGCUGGUUCUCCGCGAAAUCUAUUGAGGUAGAGCGUUAUGUAUUACCAUUGGAGGUAGAGCACUGAAUGAGCUAGGGGGACUCACCGUCUUACCAACCUCAAUCAAACUUCGAAUGCCGAUGAGUAGAGCAUAGCAGACACACAGUGGGUGCUAAGGUCCAUUGUGGAGAGGGAAACAGCCCUGACCGCCGUCUAAGGUCCCCAAAUGACAACUAAGUGUGAAAGGAAGUGGAAACUCCAGGACAGCCAGGAGGUUGGCUUAGAAGCAGCCAUCCUUUAAAGAAAGCGUAAUAGCUCACUGGUCUAAACUUAAGAGUUUCUGCGCCGAAAAUGUAACGGGGCUAAAGUUGUCUACCGAAGACGCGGAUGUGCAUUCUUUAUCAUGGGAAUGUACGUGGUAGCGGAGCGUUCCAUAGGCUGAUGAAGGUUAACCGUGAGGUUAGCUGGAGGUAUUGGAAGUGCGAAUGCUGACAUGAGUAGCGAUAAAAAGUGUGAGAGACACUUUCGCCGAAAGUCCAAGGUUUCCUGCGCCAGGUUAAUCCGCGCAGGGUGAGCCGGCCCCUAAGGUGAGGGCGAAAGCCGUAAUCGAUGGGAAUCAGGUUAAUAUUCCUGAGCCUGCUAGUGGUGACGGACACGAUAUGUUGUUUAUUCUUAAUGGAUUGAAUAGGCUUUUGGAGUGUUCCAGGAAAUAGCCCUAGCGUAUAGACCGUACUCUAAACCGACACAGGUGGACAGGUAGAGCAUACCAAGGCGCUUGAGAGAACGAUGCUGAAGGAACUAGGCAAAAUGCUUGCGUAACUUCGGAAGAAGCAAGGCCAUAAUGAGGGCAACCUUAUUAUGGUGGCACAGACCAGGGGGUAGCGACUGUUUAGUAAAAACACAGGGCUCUGCGAAAUUGAGAAAUGACGUAUAGGGCCUGACGCCUGCCCGGUGCCGGAAGGUUAAGAGGAGAUGUUAGCGCAUUGAAUUGAAGCCCCGGUAAACGGCGGCCGUAACUAUAACGGUCCUAAGGUAGCGAAAUUCCUUGUCGGGUAAGUUCCGACCUGCACGAAUGGCGUAACGACUUCCCCGCUGUCUCCAGCAUCGACUCAGCGAAAUUGAAUUCCCCGUGAAGAUGCGGGGUACCCGCGGUCAGACGGAAAGACCCUAUGAACCUUUACUGUAGCUUUGCAGUGGCACCAGAAAUAUUUUGUGUAGGAUAGGUGGGAGACUAUGAACUUAAGGCGCCAGCUUUAAGGGAGUCAUUGUUGAAAUACCACCCUGAAUGUUUCUGUUGUCUAACUGAGCCUAUUUAGCAUGGGCCAGGACCCUGCAUGGUGGACAGUUUGACUGGGGCGGUCGCCUCCUAAAAUGUAACGGAGGCGCGCGAUGGUAGGCUCAGUCCGGUUGGAAAUCGGAUUUUGAGUGCAAUGGCAUAAGCCUGCCUGACUGUGAGAGUGACAGCUCGAGCAGAGACGAAAGUCGGCCAUAGUGAUCCGGUGGUUCCUUGUGGAAGGGCCAUCGCUCAACGGAUAAAAGGUACUCUAGGGAUAACAGGCUGAUCUCCCCCAAGAGUUCACAUCGACGGGGAGGUUUGGCACCUCGAUGUCGGCUCAUCACAUCCCGGGGCUGAAGCAGGUCCCAAGGGUUCGGCUGUUCGCCGAUUAAAGUGGUACGUGAGCUGGGUUUAGAACGUCGUGAGACAGUUCGGUCCCUAUCUGCCGUGGGCGUUAAGACUUGAAAGGAUUUGUUCCUAGUACGAGAGGACCGGAAUGAACGAACCUCUAGUGAACCAGUUGUCACGCCAGUGGCAUGGCUGGGUAGCCAAGUUCGGAAUGGAUAACCGCUGAAAGCAUCUAAGCGGGAAACCAGCCUUAAGAUAAGGUCUUUUUGGGGCGUUGAAGACCACAACGUUAAUAGGUCCGGUGUGAAAGUUCAGCAAUGAAUGAAGCUUACGGAUACUAAUCCCCCA